rnacentral:rRNA from 1 species
GAUCUGGUCAGGAUGAACGCUAGCGACAGGCUUAACACAUGCAAGUCGAGGGGCAGCAUAAAAGUAGCAAUACUUGGUGGCGACCGGCGCACGGGUGAGUAACGCGUAUGCAACCUACCUAUCAGAGGGGAAUAACCCGGCGAAAGUCGGACUAAUACCGCAUAAAACAGGGGCACCGCAUGGUGAUAUUUGUUAAAGAAAUUCGCUGAUAGAUGGGCAUGCGUUCCAUUAGGUAGUUGGUGAGGUAACGGCUCACCAAGCCGACGAUGGAUAGGGGAACUGAGAGGUUGGUCCCCCACACUGGUACUGAGACACGGACCAGACUCCUACGGGAGGCAGCAGUGAGGAAUAUUGGUCAAUGGGCGGGAGCCUGAACCAGCCAAGUCGCGUGAAGGGAAAAGAAGGAUCUAUGGUUCGUAAACUUCUUUUGCAGGGGAAUAAAGUGCAGGACGUGUCCUGUUUUGUAUGUACCCUGAGAAUAAGGAUCGGCUAACUCCGUGCCAGCAGCUGC